GUGCUCGCUUCAGCAAUUCAUAUACUAAAAUUGGAGCAAUACAGAAAAGAUUACCAUGGUGUCUGGGCAAGGAUGACACACAAUUUGUAAAAUGUUUCAUAGUAAA
ensembl:snRNA U6 U6 spliceosomal RNA